CCUACGGGUGACAGCAGUGGGGAAUAUUGGGCAAUGGGCGCAAGCCUGACCCAGCAACGCCGCGUGAAGGAAGAAGGCUCUCGGGUUGUAAACUUCUUUUCUUAGGGACGUAGAAAGUGACGGUACCUGAGGUAUAAGCCUCGGCUAACUACGUGCCAGCAGUCGCGGCAAUACGGAGGCCGCAAGCGUUAUCCGGAUUUAAUGGGUGUAAAGGGCGUGUAGGCGGGAGCGUAAGUCAGAUGUGAAAUUUCAGGGCUCAACCAUGAGACUGCCUUUGAAACUGGAUUUCUUGAGUGCUGGAGAGGCAGUCGGAAUGCGGUGUGUAGCGGUGAAAUGCGUAGAUAUACGGAAGAACACCAGUGGCGAAGGCGGAUUGCUAGACAGUAACUGACGCUGAGGCGCGAAAGCGUGGGGAGCAAACAGGAUUAGAUACCCGGGUAGUC
rnacentral:rRNA from 1 species